UUCCUUCCUACUCCCUCCCACACACCCAGGAGCUCCAGCCUGUUAUGGGAUGGGCAUCCUACCAGGAACCAAGGAUGCUAAGAUGUCCUCCAAAAUGGAUUGCCUCAUAUCUAGUACCCGCCUGCUGCAGGCUUCUUCAUCUAGUUCCUCUGGGGGCACAUUGUGCAGCUAAUUCAUCCAGGCAGAUUCACUGGGAAGCUGUUGCUCAUGAGGGUAUUUCUGAGACUUUUUUUUUGUGACCUUGCUGUAUGACUGGUGUAAUGGAGAAUCUCCAGGUGGAGAAAUGAUCCUGAAUUAUCCAGUGGGCCCUACAUGUCACCACAUUGCGAUCCUUCUAAGUAGGAAGCAGAAGAUCUGACACAUGCAGGAGAGGGGAAGGCAAUGUGACCAUGGAGGCAGAGAGGAGAGUGAUGUGGCCACAAGCCAAGGAUUGUCGGCAGCUGCCAGUGGCUGAAGGGGCAAUGAACGGAUUCUCCUUUGGAGCCUCUGGAGGGAGAAUGGCCCUGCUAACACCUGAUUUUGGCCCAGUGAUACUGAUUUUGGACUUCUGCCCUCUAGAACUGUGAGGGAAUACUUUUCUGUUGCUUUA
rnacentral:antisense_RNA from 1 species